rnacentral:rRNA from 2 species
CGGCGCACGGGUGCGUAACGCGUAUGCAAUCUACCUUUCACAGAGGGAUAGCCCAGAGAAAUUUGGAUUAAUACCUCAUAGUAUAGCAGUUUCGCAUGAAACCACUAUUAAAGUCACAACGGUGAAAGAUGAGCAUGCGUCCCAUUAGCUAGUUGGUAAGGUAACGGCUUACCAAGGCAACGAUGGGUAGGGGUCCUGAGAGGGAGAUCCCCCACACUGGUACUGAGACACGGACCAGACUCCUACGGGAGGCAGCAGUGAGGAAUAUUGGACAAUGGGCGCAAGCCUGAUCCAGCCAUGCCGCGUGCAGGAUGACGGUCCUAUGGAUUGUAAACUGCUUUUAUACGAGAAGAAACCCUCCGACGUGUCGGAGCUUGACGGUAUCGUAAGAAUAAGGAUCGGCUAACUCCGUGCCAGCAGCCGCGGUAAUACGGAGGAUCCAAGCGUUAUCCGGAAUCAUUGGGUUUAAAGGGUCCGUAGGCGGUCAGGUAAGUCAGUGGUGAAAGCCCAUCGCUCAACGGUGGAACGGCCAUUGAUACUGUCUGACUUGAAUUAUUAGGAAGUAACUAGAAUAUGUAGUGUAGCGGUGAAAUGCUUAGAGAUUACAUGGAAUACCAAUUGCGAAGGCAGGUUACUACUAAUGGAUUGACGCUGAUGGAC